rnacentral:rRNA from 1 species
AGUAGGGGAUAACACUUGGAAACAGGUGCUAAUACCGUAUAACAACCAAAACCACCUGGUUUCGGUUUAAAAGACGGCUUCGGCUGUCACUUUAGGAUGGACCCGCGGCGUAUUAGCUUGUUGGUAAGGUAACGGCCUACCAAGGCGAUGAUACGUAGCCGACCUGAGAGGGUAAUCGGCCACAUUGGGACUGAGACACUGCCCAAACUCCUACGGGAGGCAGCAGUAGGGAAUCUUCCACAAUGGACGAAAGUCUGAUGGAGCAACGCCGCGUGAGUGAUGAAGGGUUUCGGCUCGUAAAACUCUGUUGUUGGAGAAGAACAGGUGUCAGAGUAACUGUUGACAUCUUGACGGUAUCCAACCAGAAAGCCACGGCUAACUACGUGCCAGCAGCCGCGGUAAUACGUAGGUGGCAAGCGUUGUCCGGAUUUAUUGGGCGUAAAGCGAGCGCAGGCGGUUUUUUAGGUCUGAUGUGAAAGCCUUCGGCUUAACCGGAGAAGUGCAUCGGAAACCGGGAGACUUGAGUGCAGAAGAGGACAGUGGAACUCCAUGUGUAGCGGUGAAAUGCGUAGAUAUAUGG